GUGCUCACUUUCGCAGCACAUAUACUAAAAUUGGAACAAUAUAGAGAUUAGCGUGACCCCUGAACAAGGAUUACACGCAAAUUCAUGAAGCGUUCCAUAUUAAA
rnacentral:snRNA from 1 species